AGCGGCGAGCGAACGGGGAGGAGCCCAGAGCCUGAAUCAGCAUGUGUGUUAGUGGAAGCGUCUGGAAAGGCGCGCGAUACAGGGUGACAGCCCCGUACACAAAAGCGCAUGUGCUGUGAGCUCGAUGAGUAGGGCGGGACACGUGGUAUCCUGUCUGAAUAUGGGGGGACCAUCCUCCAAGGCUAAAUACUCCUGACUGACCGAUAGUGAACCAGUACCGUGAGGGAAAGGCGAAAAGAACCCCGGCGAGGGGAGUGAAAAAGAACCUGAAACCGUGUACGUACAAGCAGUGGGAGCCCCACCACUAAGCCAGUGGUGAACUCCACAUCCGCAUCCUUUGCUGAGGAUACGGUUAACGGAGCGAAAGCGACGUUCAACCGCAAAACAAGCAGAGGGGGCUUAGUGGUGGGGUGACUGCGUACCUUUUGUAUAAUGGGUCAGCGACUUAUAUUCUGUAGCAAGGUUAACCGAAUAGGGGAGCCGGAGGGAAACCGAGUCUUAAUUGGGCGUUAAGUUGCAGGGUAUAGACCCGAAACCCGGUGAUCUAGCCAUGGGCAGGUUGAAGGUUGGGUAACACUAACUGGAGGACCGAACCGACUAAUGUUGAAAAAUUAGCGGAUGACCUGUGGCUGGGGGUGAAAGGCCAAUCAAACCGGGAGAUAGCUGGUUCUCCCCGAAAGCUAUUUAGGUAGCGCCUCGUGAAUUCAUCUCCGGGGGUAGAGCACUGUUUCGGCUAGGGGGCCAUCCCGGCUUACCAACCCGAUGCAAACUGCGAAUACCGGAGAAUGUUAUCACGGGAGACACACGGCGGGUGCUAACGUCCGUCGUGAAGAGGGAAACAACCCAGACCGCCAGCUAAGGUCCCAAAGUCAUGGUUAAGUGGGAAACGAUGUGGGAAGGCCCAGACAGCCAGGAUGUUGGCUUAGAAGCAGCCAUCAUUUAAAGAAAGCGUAAUAGCUCACUGGUCGAGUCGGCCUGCGCGGAAGAUGUAACGGGGCUAAACCAUGCACCGAAGCUGCGGCAGCGAACGUAUCACCCAAGACAACUUUACGGAGUUGACGAUUGACGGAGCGAAGCGACGUCAAAGCGUUCAUUAAAGUCGAGUUGGCUUAGGGAUACGUUCGUUGGGUAGGGGAGCGUUCUGUAAGCCUGUGAAGGUGUGUCGUGAGGCAUGCUGGAGGUAUCAGAAGUGCGAAUGCUGACAUAAGUAACGAUAAAGCGGGUGAAAAGCCCGCUCGCCGGAAGACCAAGGGUUCCUGUCCAACGUUAAUCGGGGCAGGGUGAGUCGACCCCUAAGGCGAGGCCGAAAGGCGUAGUCGAUGGGAAACGGGUUAAUAUUCCCGUACUUGGUGUUACUGCGAAGGGGGGACGGAGAAGGCUAUGUUGGCCGGGCGACGGUUGUCCCGGUUUAAGCGUGUAGGUGUGUGUUCCAGGUAAAUCCGGUUCACUUUAACACUGAGGCGUGACGACGAGGCACUACGGUGCUGAAGCAACAAAUGCCCUGCUUCCAGGAAAAGCCUCUAAGCAUCAGGUAACAUCAAAUCGUACCCCAAACCGACACAGGUGGUCAGGUAGAGAAUACCAAGGCGCUUGAGAGAACUCGGGUGAAGGAACUAGGCAAAAUGGUGCCGUAACUUCGGGAGAAGGCACGCUGACACGUAGGUGAAGUGAUUUACUCA
rnacentral:rRNA from 1 species